rnacentral:rRNA from 1 species
UACGAAGGGGGCUAGCGUUGUUCGGAUUUACUGGGCGUAAAGCGCACGUAGGCGGAUCGUUAAGUCGGGGGUGAAAUCCUGGAGCUCAACUCCAGAACUGCCUUCGAUACUGGCGAUCUUGAGUCCGGAAGAGGUGAGUGGAACUCCUAGUGUAGAGGUGGAAUUCGUAGAUAUUAGGAAGAACACCAGUGGCGAAGGGCGGCUCACUGGUCCGGUACUGACGCUGAGGUGCGGAAAGCGUGGGGAGCAAACAGGGAUUAGAAACCCUUGAUAC